rnacentral:rRNA from 1 species
UACGUAGGGUGCAAGCGUUAAUCGGAAUUACUGGGCGUAAAGCGUGCGCAGGCGGUUGUGCAAGACAGAUGUGAAAUCCCCGGGCUCAACCUGGGAAUUGCGCUUGAAACUAGACGGGCUUGAGUGUGGCAGAGGGGGGUGGAAUUCCGACGUGUAGCAGUGAAAUGCGUAGAGAUGUGGAGGAAUACCGAUGGCGAAGGCAGCCCC